rnacentral:rRNA from 1 species
CCUACGGGGAGCUGCAGUGGGGAAUAUUGGACAAUGGGCGAAAGCCUGAUCCAGCCAUGCCGCGUGUGUGAAGAAGGCCUUCGGGUUGUAAAGCACUUUCAGUGGGGAAGAAAGCCUUGGGGCUAAUACCCUCGAGAAAGGACAUCACCCACAGAAGAAGCACCGGCUAACUCCGUGCCAGCAGCCGCGGUAAUACGGAGGGUGCGAGCGUUAAUCGGAAUUACUGGGCGUAAAGCGCGCGUAGGCGGUCUGAUAAGCCGGUUGUGAAAGCCCCGGGCUCAACCUGGGAACGGCAUCCGGAACUGUCAGGCUAGAGUGCAGGAGAGGAAGGUAGAAUUCCCGGUGUAGCGGUGAAAUGCGUAGAGAUCGGGAGGAAUACCAGUGGCGAAGGCGGCCUUCUGGACUGACACUGACGCUGAGGUGCGAAAGCGUGGGUAGCAAACAGGAUUAGAUACCCCGGUAGUC